GUUCGGAUUGUAGUCUGCAACUCGACUACAUGAAGCUGGAAUCGCUAGUAAUCGCGAAUCAGAAUGUCGCGGUGAAUACGUUCCCGGGUCUUGUACACACCGCCCGUCACACCAUGGGAGUCAGUAACGCCCGAAGUCAGUGGCCCAACCUUAGGGAGGGAGCUGCCGAAGGCGGGACAGAUGACUGGGGUGAAGUCGUAACAAGGUACC
rnacentral:rRNA from 1 species